UACAGUGUGUAAAUUGUUUAGGAAAAACCUCUUUGUUCUUUCACAAAUAUGUGCUCAUUCAUGUGUAAUUACUUCAACAAACUAAUCAAAGUAUUCU